rnacentral:rRNA from 1 species
AUAACAAUACCGGGCUCUAUGAGUCUGGUAAUUGGAAUGAGUACAAUCUAAAUCCCUUAACGAGGAUCCAUUGGAGGGAAAUUCUGGUGCCAGCAACCGUGGUAAUUCCAGCUCCAA